ensembl:lncRNA
CCUCGGCUCCUGCUCCAGCGGCAUAUGUGAUUCACCAACAAGGAGGGACGCCAAUAAGGCAUCCGAUAAGAUAAGUCUUAUAAAAUAUAUAGCUGUAUGGUAAUUGAGACUGAGCUAACAAAUGAGAAUCCUAGUCAUUGGCCAAACAGCUUUGUAACUAAUACAAGUCUCUCUGUGUAUUCAUUUGGGCCUAACUUGGGCGGGCGGCUGGCGUAAAGCUCACACGUGGCGGUGGGGCUCAGGCGGCUUUUGGCAAAAAGAUUUAUCGUAACACUGAUCCAUGGGCAUGGGAGAUCUCUCCAUUUUCUGAUAUCUUCUCCAUAUUAUUUCUUCAAAGACUUGAAGUUCUCAUCAUAUAGGUAUUUUACUUGCUUAGUUAGAGUUACACCAACAUAUUUUAUAUUAUUUGAGGCUACUGUAAAACGUCUUGAUUCUCUGAUUUCUUUCUCAGCUGGUUAUCAUUUAUGUAUAGGAAGGAUACCGAUUUUUUUUUUUUAGUUAAUCUUGUAUCCAAUCACUGACUAAAGGUGUUUAUCAGGUAUAGUAGUGAUGGAGAAUGUACUGUGUAUGUUCAUUUUAUUGAUUAUUGAAUAAAGUACUUGUUUGGCCAAUGAGACAGCAAGUUAGAUGAGACUAGGAGUCAAAGAGGAUUCUAGGAAAUGUAGUAGAGAAGUGGUGUUCCAGGCAGGAAGUGAUAUAGCAAGGAGACUCAUAUUUAAGAAAGGAGAAACAGGAAGUAUCCCUUUUCCCCUCCGCUCCUACUCCAGUGGUGCAAUGUGAUCCACCAGCAAGGGCGAGGCCAGCAGAAGGCAUCCUCUAUAAGAUAAGUCUUAUAAAAUAUAUAGAUUUAUGAUAAUUAAGACUGAGCUAACAGAUGAAAAAUCCUAGUCAUUGGCCAAGCAGCAUUUAAACCCAAUACAAGUUUCUGUGUAUUAAUUUGGGCCCUAACUCGGGCGGAUGGCUGGCAUAAAGUGCACACAUGGCGGUGGGGCUCAGUGGCUUUUGGUGGAAAGAUUUAUCGUAACAUAGUAGUUCCCUGAUAGAGAUAUUGGGGUUGUUUAUAUAUACUAUCAUAUCCAUAUUAUCUGCAAAUAAUAAUACUUUGAUUUCUUCCUUUCCAAUUUGUAUUCCCUUGAUACUUAAAUUCUACCAGGUAAGUUAAAGUCAUGUGUUCUCAUGAAUAUUUGGAUCCUUGGAUCAAGUCUAUAGCCAUAGCUCUGUGAAUAUUUCUGAUCAUGUAUGGAUUCUAGGGUUGAAUAUUAAGACUUGUGUGUUUAACAUGGAGUAUAUGUAGAAUCCAGGAAACUAGAAAAGGGCCAUUGGAGAGGUAAGAAAGAUCUUAAGAGGAGGGGAUAAUGGAAAACAGGUGAGUUGGGGAUGUUUGAGAUUCUAAGAUACUAGAAUAUCACUGAAGAAAGCUAUCUAUUGGUAAGAAGUAGAAUCCCAAAGCAGGGCUGUGUGUGUUGUAGGCAGCACAACUGGAGAGACAGGUCUACCCAAGCUUUUGAAAUUCAGAUGCUGCCUGACAGAUCUACAGGACUUGGUGUUUACCCUACUGGACUUUGAUCUUGGUUUGGUCUGAUCUCACUAUGUUUUCUUCUCUUGUGAAAUGGGAAUAUUUAUUGUAUGCCACUGUAAUGUUGGACUAUGUAACUCAUAUUUUUAUGUUCAAGGGGGCUCAAAGUUUUAAGAGCCUGCAGAGUUUCAGAAGAUUUAUUCACACUUUUGAACACUGUAGGAAGUUUUAAAAUUAUGGAGAUUGUUGAAGUUGGGUUGAAUAAAUUUGUAUUAUGAGUUGCAUGACAGAGCUAAGACAUAUAAGCUCAGAGGUAGAAAGUUAUGUCUUAAAAGUGACAUGUUUGUCAAUUUGACAAGGAAUGGAGUUGUAAUAGUUAAUUUUGAUUGACAUCACAGGAUCAAGAAUCACCUUGCAAACAAUACAGUUGCCAUAGCUGUGAAGGAUUAUUAUGGAGUCUGUGGGCAUCCCAUUCCAUGGACAUAGGGCACAGACAACAGAAAAAGGAGAAAAUUAGCUGAAUACCAGCCUUCCUGCUUUUUAUUUCCUGAGUGUGAAUACAAUAUGACUAGCUUCAGGUGCUGUGACUUCUCCACAGUUAUGGGCUCUACUCUUGAACUAUGAGCCAGAAUACAGCCCCCCCUCCUUUAGGUUACUUGUCUCAGGCAUUUUGUCACUGCAAAAGGACAAAUAACUUCUUUGUGUCUCUGUCUACUUCUCCCAAACAAUUGUUUAUUGAUGAACCCAUACUCUUUUUUUAAAAAAAGUUUUCAAACUAUAUUUUUCAAAUUGCCUAAAGGAAAAUAUUUCAAUCAGGUUUGACUAGAAGAAAUAUUGGCUUUAGGAAACUCUCAAUAUCUUUUUUUGUCUUUUUAUAAUAUGAGAAGAAAUUGAUGAUCAAUGCUUAGAUCCUUUAUGAUUCUAAAAUGUAAAAAUCUGAUUUUGUUUGCUUCACAGUUAUUAUCUACGUGAUGUUCCCAAGAGAAAUCUCCUUUGGUUGCUACCUAGUUAUUCAGUGGUAUAGUUGAAUAAGGAAGGAAGAAUAGGUAUAUUAUCCUUUAUCCAUUUUAUUAGUUUUCAAAAUUCUAAGUUAGAUGUUAACUAAUAGCUUACAUGCUCACUUUUUUAUAUCAUUGGUCUUAAAAUUUUAACCAUUUAUGGUAUUUUCAACUCAUUCAUUUCUAUUAAUGAUAAGCAUUUCUAUUCGACUUUGUAAAUCUUUUAGAUUGACUGCUGAGAUCUUUGACAAUAAUCUUAGCAGUUCUGGACAAUUUCCUGAAUGUAUAGUAUGGCAAUACAAGCUGGAGCCAUUGCUGCUCCAGGCCUGGAAUCAACUACUUCUUCAAAGUCCCCAGAUUCCUAUUAGUGGGAAAUAUGCUGGUGCUAAGAAUAAGAAGUAUGAAUAGACUGCUCAUUUGUUUAAUUAUUUUGAAUUUGCUUUAAUUAUUAUAUUAUGUCUUGCUAAGGGAUACACUAAAAUUAGUAUUUAAAGUAAUUUUGAACAAUCUCUAUUAUCAAAUAAAUACCAUUAUUUUUCAACAUUUAUUUUCAAUUGUUGCAAUUGCUUUAAAAUCACUUUAUAUUUUGUGAAUUUGGAAACAAGAUAUUCAAAGAAGUUUAUGUUAUUUUGCAUGUCUUUUUAUUCUUUAUUUUUAAAAGAAGCUAUUACUUUCAGUUUCCAGUUUUAUUUUUUUCCACUUUGCAAAAAGAUAGUUAACUAUGCAUCUAAAAUAUUAGAGAUAUGUUUAAGAUAUUGGAUGUGUAAUUAGAUAUUUGUCUCAUAGAUUUCAUUUCUGAGGUGACUGGUGGCAAUCUUUGUACAAGUUUCUUCACCUUGCUUUCUAUUUAUUAAUUUCAUUUAAGCACAUAUCUUGAUUAUAACUACACAUUUGCAUACAGAGAUCCUCUUCAUUUUAUUUGAGAGUUGCAUAGCAUCCUGGGUGUAGCCAUAGAUUAUAUAACUAGCCCUAUCAAAGGAUAUUGGGGUUUUUUCAAAGUAAUAAUCUAACAGUAAUUAACUUUCUACAAAUGAGUUUUUUGUCAGGGUUUCUUUGGGGAAAAUCUUCAAAGAAACUGCUGCCAGAACAUAAUGUAUAAAUAAUUUCUCUAGAUAAUAACAAAUUACCUGCUAUAGACAUUGUGUGUUAUGCAUUCAUAUAGGCAAUAUGUGACAGUCUGUUGCCAUUUAGGCUAUUGUAAAAGUUUCAGAAUCUAAAAGCAUUCAAAUUGAACAAAAAUGAUAUGUUUAUAAAAUAUAGCAUGGUAAAAAUUGAUUUUUUUUCUGAUCAGAAUGGAAAAGUAAACAAUUUUGGAGGUGAUCAGCUUCUCCCUCAUGACCUCAAGAAUUUUGUUUAGCUCACCUAUAGGGAAUUAAAACAUAUGCACAUACAGGUGUGUAUAUAAACAGUGUCAUAAACAUAAUCUUUUUUAAAGACUGCUGGGGAACCUAUAUGGGACCUAACCCUGCCCUGUGCAUGUGGGCAACAGUUUUGUAGCCUGGUCUGUUUGUGAGAUUCCUAGCAGUGGGACCAGGGUCUAUCCCUCGGCAUGAGCUGGCUUUUUGAAGCCCUUUGCAUAUGGUCGAAGCCUUGCUCAGCCUUGAUGGGGGGCGGGGUUGGUCAUGGUUCAACUAAAUAUGCCAGGCUUUGUUGACUCCCCAUGGGAGGCCUUACCCUAUCUGAGGAGUGAAUGGGAAUAGGCUGAGGGGAGAGGAGGGGAAGGGAGAAGAAGGGAGGGAAAGACAGCUGUCUUCUCAGGUGAUAAUUGUAUCUCAAACUUCUAAAACCUGUGAGCUUAUUAUUGGUUUCAUGAGACAGGAUCUUUCUAUGUAGUCCUGGUAGCCACCAACUCUUGAUCCUCCUGUCUUUACCUGCAAACUACUGGUACUACAGUGGCAUACUACCAUAUCCAGCCUGAGCUUAUAUUGCUUAAGCCAAGGCUUCAUAAAGGAAUGUUUGAAUAGGUAAUGAUUUAGUGGAUGUCGUCACUUAAAUAAUCUUCUUAGGAAAGGAAAAGAUGCUCAAAGGCAAACAAACAUCUACAUUAUAUGAAUGUUAUUGCUAUUAAAAUAAUGAGCAUAGUUAUAAAAUAUUAUUCAUAAAGAUAACAAAUAAUUAAAUAAUAAAAUAACCUGGACAGAAACUGUCUGGAUUGUAUUAUUGAAUACUAAGUUGUAUACAGAAGGAAAGAAGCAGAGAGACUUAAAUUUCUAGUCUUGUUGGUAGAUGAUUAGCAGGCCUUUAAAUCUACUAUUUUCUGUAAUAGUGGAAUAAAAACGCAGAGAAAAUGUAAAUGUAAUCAAAUAAUGCAAACUGAAAAACACAAGGUUUAAGCCACUUGAGAUAAAAAUAUUAAAAUCAUAAAUAAGACAUUUUAAAAGAGAAAUUAAACAAGAAAAGUAAAAGAACACCCAAAGUCAAAGAACGAGAGAAGGUUCUCUUGUUACUUGCAUCCAGCACAUCGGAAAGAAACGGGAUUUAUAGGACAAGAUUAAAAGGAACAAAUGACAUUAGGAAUAGUGCAUGGCCGUCAUGUUUUUUGGACUCUUAACUUUGAAAACUUAAUGGUGUUCCAAGACAAUCUUCUCAUGUAUUUAGCCUUUCCAGUGUAGUAACUAGAGCAUGAUUUCUGCUUGAGUCCCCUGUGGCUAAUACAUAAAUAUAAGGCUAAGAAAAUCUGACUAAACUCCUUGGUGCCAGACCAGGGGUCAGGAGUGAGGAAGGACAAAGGGGCUCCAAGAAGAAUGUUUCCUUACCACACUAGACAGAAACAUCAUCUGAGAUCUUGGCUCUGGGAUAAGUCAAUGUAGACUGCAAUCCUUGGUGUAGAAAUGCCAUUAAUAUCAAAUGCCAAUGAAUUCUUAAUCACUGCUGCUCAUAAAAAUGAUUAUCCUUUUUGGUAUUGGUGACACUGUCUAUUCCCUCUUAUCUUUCUUAUGGUUGUGGUUGUGUACAUUAUCUGAAAUCUUAGACCUUUAGUCUUCUCCAUUUCUCUCAAAAGGACUUAAAGGAAACAGAAACUAAGUUUCUAGUCUCAUUGAUGGGAGAUUAGCAGGGUUUUAUGUAGUUGGACUUCUUUGUUGGGACCAUUGGCUACCCAAUAAUGACACAGAGACUUAUUAACUAUGAAAGCUCAGCCAAUAGCUUAGGCUUGGUUUUAGUUAGCUCCUAUAACUUACAUUAUUCCAUUUCUAUUAACCUAUGUGCUUCCUUAAGGCUUGUUUACCUCAUCUAUGUAUUUCUGUCCUGCUUUCCUGCCUUCUCUGUGUCUCCUUAUGGCUCUGCCCUUCUUCUUCCCAGCUUCCUUUGUGCCUGGGAAUCCUGCCUGGUUAUUGGCCAUUUAGCUUUUUAUUAAACCACUCAGAGUGACACUUCUUUACAGUGUAUAAAACAUUAUUCCACAACAGUUUUAAAUAUGCUUCAUAGUAUAAUAGAGAAAUAAAAAACUAAAGCACAGGUAAAAAGCUAAUGUAAUCAAACAAUAUGGAUGGAAGCAACACAGUUUCACCCACUUGUUCUGGCUCUAUCUUUUUCCUAGUGAGAAAUGCUAUCCCUUCCAAGGAUAAACAGUAAGAUGCUGUCUUGGAAGAAAGUGGUAAUUCUCAUCAGGCAAGGAACCUGCUGGCUUUUUCAUUUUGGAUGCUCUAGUUCCCAGAAAUAAGAGAAACUAUGAUUUUGCUCUUUAUAAAUUAUCCAGUAUGGGACAUUCUGCCAUCAUAGCACAAGCUGAGUAGGACAAUUGCUGUUUGUUUAUGGGGAAAUUUCUAUUAAGAUGUUAAAAAGAUAAAAUAAAAUCCUGAAAUGAGGAGCCAGAAACUUCUAGAUUUGAAUUUGGGGGAAUAUUCAUGGGCAUUAGAGACAUUUUAGGAUGCGGAUGGUUUGACAAAUGAGGCAGGUCCAUCAUGUAUAAAAAUCUUAACUGUGAUCCUGGCCAGCAUUAAGAGAUCCAAUUUGACUGUGGCAAGGGAUUUGGUUAGUAUUGUUAUUCUAUAAUUAAUAUUUCCAAUAAUUCUUCUUCAGAGUUUUAGUCAGAGACAAGUAGAUUAUGUAAAUAACAUCUCAGGAGCAAAUUAGUGAGAGGGAAGAUAGGGAGGGGGAGGAAGAAAGAGAAAGAACAAACAGGCAAGUGAUGCUCUGAUGAAACUCACUCAUUAUAAAGGGUGAAGAUGGCAGAAAAGCAGGUAAGCUUCCAAACUGUUCCACUAUAUUAUAGAGAAGUCACUGAUUAGUCAGAUAGGAAGCUCUGUUGGAUAAACUGUUUGAUCCCCAUUCCUAAAUAAAUUUUCUGCAAAACUAUCAUAAACUUGUAACUUCACACAAGCUCCUCUAAGCCUGUGAAGCUCAGCCUGAUCAAAGAACUCAAUACUUAUGACUGUUUUCUAACCACUGACAGCAUCUCCAAUGUUAUGAAUUAUUCAUGAAUAUGCAUAUGGUUAGUACGGCUUUUGUGUCACUCCCCACUGCCACUUAAUUUCUUUAAUUUCAACACUAUGAUGAUUUAGAAAUAGAAUAGAGCUCAUAAAAGCAUGCUAUUAAUUAUUUGAAUUAUGUAAAAGUGAAGAAUAUUAGAAAAAUAAUAGGGCAAAUAUUCAUGAACUUCAUUCAAGUUGAAAGAAGUGAAUGCCUUGCUAAUAAUUUAGAAUACAAAACAGUGCGCACACCCUAAUGCCCUUCCUAUAGUCUUUCAGACAACAUCUUUUAAGUCAGUUCUUACCUUAGGGUUUUGUCUUAUAUCCUGCAGAGAGCACAAAUACGACGUCCUCAUGAAAAUGCACAUACUUCACAAAUACACGCCUGGAGCUUCCAGCUUGUCCCGUCUUCUUCGCUCAAAUGGUUUGUCAUAACUAUAAACAAACAAAACUGUUCCUCUCUUUUCCCUCCAGAGGUUUGGUUCAUUCAUUAUAGCUAGACUAUAGUAUUGCAUUACAUAAAUAAAUAAUAGUUACCUAUAUUCUUCUAACCAAGAAACGUAGUAUUUCUCACUUUCACUAUUGCUAACAGUGCUGCCAUUAAAUGCUUAGGAUUUAUCUCCUUGUAGGAGAAUGGGGCGACCACUGCCCAUCUCAGAAGCAAGUAUUCUCCAAAAGGGAAGUGUUUUGUGGGUGCUAUUGAGCAGUAAGUGGAGGACUCCAGUGGCUGGUGGAGUUCUUUGUCUUUAGGCUAGCCAGAGGUUUUCUUUUAUAAGCACAUCUGUAGGCUGGUACUUUGUCUGUGUAUCUUUGGAAAUCAACCUUGGUCCUACAUCCUGUGUACCUCACACUAAUUUUGAAAAAAAAAUUACAGUGAUAUUUAAAAAAGGAGGCAAUAUUGUAAUCACUUACUUAUUCAAUUUAGAAUGCCAUGUGAAAGACAGCUGUAGAUAAGAUGCAGGAGGAAAGUGGGCUUCAAAACAGGAGAAGUGAUUUUCUCCUGGUAAAGCAUGGCUAUUUUUACAGUGUAUUUUUAUUCUCUCUUUAAUUAUCUUUAAUCUGCUCUGUUAUGCUAUAGCUGCUCAGAAGACAGGGAUCUCUGGCUGAAUGUAAACAUGGCAUUUUGAUCCACAAAGAGGUUAUAAAAUUGAUGUGCAGCCAAUGUUUUCUCACUCAGAAAAGAGAUAUACUAGCGUCCUUUCUCUGUCAAUCAAAAUGGUCCUGCUAGUUACCUAGGCAGGAGAAUGCCCUAUUAAGAAAGCUGUCUACUCUAGGGACUUUAAGAAAUAGCACAAAGGCCAUUCUGCAUGUGAGUUGGAGCAAUGGGUUCUUUGGUUGUUGCCUGCUCUCAGCCUUGAGAGUCUGCAUUACCUUUUAAUACACUCCACCCAUCUUCUACAUCUUAGUCUGUGUGUCUGAAUUCUCUUGACGGAGGAGAGUACAUGAACUUGAGAGCAAAGGGGAGACCAGAGUGAGAUCCCAGAGAUGCUAUGUCAAUUUGGCAAGGUCCUAAGUAGACUGCUCCUGGUGCCCAUUUCAGUAUCCAUCUGAACAUUAAAACACAAAUUUAUGGAGGAUGGUACCCCUGUUGUCCCCUUGACAUCUUCUGUCUCAUUUCACACUCAUAUAAUAUUGAUUUUUAUGUCCUCUUGAUGUUCAUAAUCUAAGGGCCCCUAUUCCACCUUCAAGUUAAGCUAUGUGUGGAAAAUGCUGUUGCAUUAUCCCAUCUUUUAUAAAUAGAAGCCUUUUAAAUGUAAUUUUGUACUUUGCCUUUUAUACUUGUUAUUUAAAAAGAAAAGAAAGACAAGGAGAAAUUUCUCUUUACAAAGCUGCUGUAAACCAGCAAACUAAUAGCUUUAGAGACUCGAGAAGUAUUUUUGCAUACAAAUUAGGAGCCAUUUUAUUGUUUUCAUUUGAUGAAAUAGAUUGUUAGGUUUAUUUUCUGUUUGGUUUGAGUUAAAGGAUAUACGGGAAGAGGAAAAAAAGAUGCAAUGAUUUAAGGAACAGUGCAAGCCAAGAGAAGCACCUCAUAAUCUAGCAUUAUCAAUGCCUCAAAUCAGUGAAGAUCACCUAUUUCUAUAUACAGGAAGAAAAUACUUUUAAAGCAACUUAAACCUCAGUGCUUGAAGCUAUGAGGCAGCAGUAAGCUGCCCAGAGCUAACUUGUUUAUGCCAAGCUCCUUCUGCUAGCAACCUUCAAAAUAGGGAAAGGUCUGCAGUCACCACAGCGUUUGAAACACCAUCCAGCUCCACAAGGCACAAUCCUUUGUCCUUUACUGAAUUCAGAGCCCAGAUGUCUCUUUGAUAUAGGGUGAAAUACCUAGCGAUAUUGGAAAGGGAAAAGUGUGAUUAAGAGUGGAAUCAAGGGUUUUGAUUACAGCAGGCAUUUUAACACCUUUACUGUUGCAGAAUUUCAAGCUGGUGUCUAUGAGGCUAUACUGAAAUUGAUGUGAAAAUUUUACACUGCUUGAUGAAAUUUUCACCAAAUGGCCUUUUCUGUAAAAGUCAGAGAAGUCAUUUUGUGACGCACUAGCAAGCAUCAUUAGUGGGGACGGUGGCGGAGGCCUGAGAGUUUAAUGCAUUCUGGGAAACUACCACUUGGCAAAGUCUCUUUGUGGUUGUUUUAUAGUGUGGAGCUUCACUCUGCAAUAAAAAUAAAACCAAAUUCAUUUGGGCUAGGUCUUUUUGUUGCUUUAUUUAAUUUUCACUUUGGCGUUUGGCCCUUAAAGCUUUAACAGGGCAGAUGUGGCUUUGGAAGGGCUUACUAAUUCAACUGGGUUAAUGGCUUCCACGACAGAGGCCAGCUCAGCAGUUUAGCCUCAUUCUGUCUUUGGUUCUCCUUCCUCUUUGAUUUUCCCUCUGGUGGAAAACUUUCCACGGGGCAACCUAUUAUCAGUAGAUGUUUAUUUGACUUUUGAGGUAACUGCCUUAAACUUUCUGGUCUGCAGAGGCACAGACAGAACCGAUGCCGCUAAACCAGCUCUUAAAGCCCUGGGAAAGAGAAGAAGGGUGUUUGCCAUUGCAAGUCCUUUCAUGGUCUGCAGAACCAUGCCCACAGCUUGAUGUGCAACACAGAUUCAGCAGUGUUUGGAAAACCCCAAAUGAGUUAGAAUUUGUGGUGUUCCCGGGUCAGUGCAGGUUUGUGGAAAGAAGAGUGGAAUUGGUAUUGGAAAGUUGAUUCUUUAAUUCCCAGGACUGAAGAACGCUCUAAAACUCCCUGAGUCUAAUUCCUAACAGUGUUUAACAGUUAUAUUUAUGAUGUUAUGGGAGGAUUUCAUUUUAGAAACUAUAGUUAUACACAUAAAAACUAAGAGAUUAAGGAAAAUGUGUGCUCCCCCCCUCUCUCUCUCCCUCCCACCCUCUCUCUCUCUCUCUUUCUCUCUCUCUCUCUCUCUCUCUGUGUGUGUGUGUGUGUGUGUGUGUGUGUGUGUGUGUGUGUGUGUGUGUGCACCCUGGUGCAUGGGCAGAGGUCAGCCUGUUUUCAUUGUUUGAGAUAGAGUCUCUCUCAGUCUCUGUCUCUGUCUCUGUCUCUGUCUGUGUCUCUGUCUCUCUCUCUCUGUCUCUCUCUGUCUAUCUCUGUCUCUCUCUCUCUCUCUCUCUCUCUCUCUUUUAGUAUAUACCACUGCAUAGAUGUAUCUGGGUGGCCCGCUUCCAGGGAUUCACCUGUCUUCUCCUUCCAUCUUAAUGUAGGUGUGCCAGGACCACAGAUGUGCACCACUAUGACUAGAUUUUACAUGGGUUCUGGGGUUUUGAACUCAGGCCUAUACUUACACUUUUGUGGCAAGUGCUCAACUCUUUGAGCCCAACUCAUGAGGGAUUCUAAUUAUAUUAUUUUCAUCAUUGAUUAAGCAUGUUUUAGCCAUCGAUUUCCCAUUUCUUCAAAUGCACACUACUUUAGCUUUAUCCAAUGCAAUAUCUAUAAAACCUCAAUGCAUCAGUCAUGUUUUUAUUACGCAUUAAAAUAAAUGUAGGACUAUCCCUCAAACAUUGUGAACAAUGAUAUUAUACUCAGGGAGGCUGACCACAGUAGCUUUAGUUGUGUUCAUCUAUAAUUCCCAUCUGCUACAACAGGAACGUUUAUCCAAUUAGCUUUCUGAUGUUCUUGUUACAUAGUGAAAUGUUUGGCACAUGGAAAAGGAGAUCCAAAUCAUCAGAAAAUUGCCCUGAAUGCAUUUCUUGUUUACUUGGGAAAAGUAUCAAGUGGAGAAAAUACUCCUUCCUCUUGAGGAGUGCCUGCAUCAAAGCUCUGCAUCCCACACAGCAGGGCUUCCUUCCCUAGCAGUCAACCAGACUUCCCGAGAGCUUUCCCAGAUUACUGCAGAAACAUCUAGGGUCAACCAUUUUCUGCAUGAUUCCCCAGUACUCUCUAUUAGAACCAAUCUUCAUAUUUGCCAAGAAUUCCUUACUCCCUUCCUUUUGCUCUCUACAUCACAUGCAGACACACACACAAGCGCGCGCGCACGCGCGCGCGCACACACACACACACACACACACACACACACACACACACACACCACAUACCACCAUACACACACACAUACACAUAAAACAGACACAGCACACAACACACACACACACACACACACACACACACCACAUACCACCAUACACACACACAUACACAUAAAACAGACACAGCACACAACACACACACACACACACACACACACACACACACACACACACACGGAUUAUUUACCUCUUCCUGAAAACUUCAUCGUUAUUUAAUAUUGUUCAAGUCCUGAGAUGGUUGAAAACAGCAUGGCCCUGUGCUGUCUCAGAAUCCUAGAUUUGGAUGUAAGUUCCUCAGGAUACAUGCUAUAAAAUUGUGAAUAUCCUCAAACUUUCUGUGGUAACCCAGGACACAGAUACUAUAGGCACAUGAAUUCUCAUAUCAGUUAAACAACAACAACAGAACCUCUCUGAGUUCAGAACACAUCUGUACACAGUGACUAGCUCACAGUAUACACAGUCAAUGAUGCCUGGCACCAUGGCGAAUGGGCAAACAAAGACUCAAAGCCAGUGAAAGAAUAAACAGCUGGAAAAAAUUCCAAAGAUGUUGUUUUCUGUUUAAUAGAGUGAAAAGCCAGUAAAGAACAUAAAAUAAUAACUACAAUUACAUUGACUGAAACCUAUAGGGAAGGAGUUAUUCUAGAGUAUCAAAUUUCCUGGACAGGAGAAACUUUGAAGCAUCUAUUUACUUUUGUGCAAAUUCUUCCUAAAAUGGUAUUUUACUUUUGCAGUUUGUUACAUUGAGCAGAUUGUGAGUAAUUUAACCUUGUCUUAAAUACUUAAUAAUAAAAACAGCAUCUUACAAAAUAAUUAAAAUGAUAUGGAGAUCUAGACAUUUCAGGAGCUUCCUUUGAGUAAUUUUCGACCAUGCUGUGAAAGUCAUGUUUGUAACUGAGAGGGGUCCAUACAGGAAGGAGCCUUGGCAACAUUCUCUGUUUCCAUCAUUUUACAAUGUUUCUCUUGCAUGGUGAUUGUUCCAGAGACACAUUGUUGGAAAAGUAAUGUCACUUGUUAAGGAACCACACAGUUAUUCUGGUAUUUACAUGCUAGCUUUAAUACUUGACUCGUCCACUUGGCAUGUGUUUGCAGAAGAAUAUAUACCAAUUGUGCUCAGAUUUGAAAUAUUUCCACAUUCUUCUAAGGGACUGCAUCAGUCACAGAUGUAGGACUUAAGUAGUAAAUGUUUGUUGACCACAGUGAUGGCAGGCAUCCCACACUCUUAACUUUUACAUCAGUUCACUUGUCCAGUCACUAUUGUAACUGUGCGAAGGGCUAAGCCUCACUUCAAUGUUUUAUAUAUGAAAAAUGAGGCAAACUAGUUUGGCAACACUGAUGAUAGAAGAGGUGUGUGGCCUUCGCUUGCUCUUUGAAUAGUUUAAUUUUUGUUUUUAAUUAUAUGUAUGUGGUACAGAUGGUAGAGGCCAGAAAUAUCCAGGCAGGCAAGAGGAGUUGGAUUACCCCUGGGGCUGGGGGUGGUUGUGAACUGCCCAGUGUGGGUGCUGGGAAUCAAACUCAGUUCCUGUGGAAGAGCAGUCCACACUGUUAACCAUGGAGUCACCUCUGCAGCCCCGUCUUCCUCUUUCAUGGCACCCUUUUGUCUUCUCUGUACAGAUAUGAUCAUCUUUGGCUCUGCUGUCUGUUGUACAUUCUUGGUGACAAGUCUUACUUUACACUGGACACCUAUUCUCUUAGUUAUUGAUUUUAAUGUAUCCUUUGAAGACAGGAGUGUAAGAAUGAAAACUAAGAAGUUGGUAUGAGACUGGUAGAUAAGGCUUUCUGAUUUCAAAUUUCAGCAUGGCAGAAAGUAAUUAGCAUUCCCCUCUUGGGGACUUUUCUCCUUUGGCAAGCCCCACACUCAUGGCAAAGUUACCAUGAGUUUCCUCUCUUUCUUCCCCACUCCCAAGUCCCCGCUACAUUCAGGGCAGCCAGGGAAAUCAGUUCUAUUUACCUUAUUAGAUAGAGCCACUCACCUCUCUCUUUUCAUCUACUUUUACUUUGAAUUACUUGCAUAUCUAAAGAGAAUUUCCAGGCAUCCUCCUAAAAAAUGAGCUGUCUCUUCUAGACCAUGGAAAGGCAACUACUGCUAAUUUUUGUUUCUUUGUUUUCAAUACUGAUGCAUUUUCUUCUUACAGCAUCUAUUAAUGGUAAACUAAAAAAAUCUUGAAACAUAUUGUAAUAUGAAUUCUGGCACUGACACAUAAUAUUGGAGAUUGUUGUGUUUGUAGGAAAACAUUCACUUACUAUUAAUGAUCAAAGCAGAUUACAGAUUACACACAAGACUGCCUGCAGUUUGAUCCUCUCUUCCUCUCCACUCUUCUGCCCCACCCCCUUCUACUUUCUCACUUCUCCAACAGAAGAAUUCAGGAAGACUCUUGUAGAAAUUGUCUAUUAGUUAUUCCAUAACUAAGUAAUCCCUGUCAGGACCUAUUGUAACAUGCAUGGUCAUUUACUUUUGUUCAAAUACUCUUAGCCACUGAUAGGCUCUAGCCUUUGUUAAUGGCUAAUAAUGACUAAGGGCUUACUGUGUGCCAAACAUGGUACUGUGCGAGACACAGGUAUUAAAUUAUUUAAACUCAUUAAGAAUAACCCAAUGAGACAUGUACCCAAUGAGGCCCAACACUACUUACCCUACUUCUUUUAUAGUUGAAUAUACUGAAGCACAGAGAAACAUUUUGUUCAAUUCAUAGAAAGGUAGACUUGUAUCCACAGUCUUAUCAUUUGUGUCCCCUUCUUUCUGACAUUUCUUCCUACUUUGGUUGGCUGUGCUUCAACAGUCCUUUAGUGUCUUUAAUGUGUGCUCAUGUUUUUAUUUACAUAGAAUGGGGAUACUUAGAACUAAUAUAAUUUUACUUAUGAAAUCAAUAUCAUAAAUGUUAUGUACAAUGUUAAAUACCUUCUGAUCAAAGGCAUGUUUAUAAUAACUCUUUUGGUCUUCAUGUAUAGAAAGGAAAUAUCUUUUCGUCUCAGUUAAAGCCCUCAUGGUUUCACACAGGUAGGUGGCUCUUUUCAGUUGCUGAAUAGCAGGAAAUCUGAAUAUCAUGUAUUUGCUAAAGUGGCUAUGAUCUUCAUGCUGUUAACUAGUCAACCAUUCACUUGUCUUCAGAAGAACUCAGAGACAAGAGGUUCUAUUGUAUAUCUGGUGCCUCCAAUGAUAAAGACAGGGAGUCCCCAGGCCUAUAAACAAUAUAUUUUAGUUGGAAUGCUCUUUUUAUUUACAUAGGAAGAGUUUAUAAGUAAAGGUGGGGAUCCUGGGCAGCUUAGUGAUAGUCACAACAGAUUUCACGGUAGCAGACCACUUUAUUUCCAGAUAAUUCAGACAGGUCCUGGACAGGCUUCUAGGAAGUUGCUGCCUCCAGUCAUUUGCUUCCUGGAGGGAGCAGGGGGUGGACCAGCUGGCAGGAGAACAGUGGGGCUGGUAGAAUAUUGUUGUGGGGUUGUUUUCAUCCUUUUCCAAUCUUUGCAUGGCUGGAUAGGAGUUUCUCUCUUGCUGAGUGCAGGCCAUAAGUGUAUUACAACAUCAGUUCCCCAUAAGGGCUGGACUAUUUAUAUCUACUUCCACACACUUUAGUAAUCAAUUUCCCUCAAGUUUCCUUCUUAAUAUUUUUCUUUUAACCUCAAAAGAAAAGAUCAAAGGUAGCUGCCCAAUGUGACAAUGCUCUAAAGAGGGGAAAAUGACACCGAGUUCCAGCUGAUAAGACUAGAAGUGUUGUUUCUCUGUGGUUUCCAAAGCAAAAUAAAUGGUAAGGAUUCAACACAGAGCUCCUGGACAAAGAGCUCACUUGCCUGUAAGUUGGUUUCCCCUGCACACUGAGAUGUGCAGAUGGCUCGGGAGCAAAUGCUUUUGUGUGGAAUUCAAUAUCUGAUCUUUCUGGUGGCUUAAUGUGUAUUUCUGCUCUUCUCACUUCCCUCUGUUCCCUCACCUCUUGACACAAACAAUUAGAGCUGUUCUGUUAGUGCACGUGUAACACAUCAAUGCAAGAACAUCAUAGAAAGCUCUCGGGCAUUUCUGGGGCAUUCUCUACACAACAUCUGCCUACACUAUGGCAGGAGCCCGUCCUUUAGGUGUCAGAGUGGCUCUUCUCAGGCCCUUUGACAGCUCUUCUUUUGUUAUUACAGUAUGUCAACCUGGAUUUGCUCUGUCACACAAAUGCGCCAUCAGUAGCUUGGUGUUUUGACAGUUUUAGUUGUUUCUCCUUGUAGCAUAUUGUCACACACACUGGAAAGAAGAAAUAUAGUUUGCUAAAUAUAAAUCCCCCUGGAUAAGGGGAGAACUAGCUCCUGGGCAAAAAGCUAUCAAGUAUUUUUGUGUUGUUUUGUUUCUUGUUGAGUCAUGUUGUUUGGUUUCAUAGAUGAUGAUACUGUUUUAAUAUGUAGUCAAAUAGCAGGCACAUAAAUAUUUCUGGCGUAUCAAAUGCAAGUCCUUUCAUUUUGUAUAGUUACUGAGAAAAACAAGGAUAUGCCAGAGUUACUGAGGGAAUGUAGCAGGGAACAUCCAUGAUGGAAUUGCAGGUUCUUUGUAUCUUGACAACGAGCAGAGCAGGAAACAGAGGGACAGCUGUGAAAGCACAGAUUCAUUAAAUGUAAGAGUUCGGGGCACACAGAGGAAAGGGGAAGUGGAAAAUGUAAGUGUUGUGGAAUAUUAGUGUAAGAUGUGUCUGGGAGUUUUACCGUUCUUUAUUCUAUAUAUCUUUCUUUCCUUCUUACUCUGUGGCUAGUCUUGGGCCUGGAUGGCUUGCUCCUGGCAUCUCCCUCUCCUUUUCUUUUCUCACUCCUACCCUUUUCUGGAUUUCUCCUUCUAUUUACCUUACAGAGUUAAACCAAUGCAACAGAAAAGAAUGCAACACGUCAUUGCAUCAUUAAACAAAUGUUCCACAGCAUAAAUGAUUAUAACACAUCUUAAACUAAUAUUCUACAACAUGUAAUUAUAUUAUAAUCUUAAAAAAUAGUAAAAAAGAAUGAGACUGGGGCAAACAAUUCAUUCCACGGAUUAGAACUGACUGGGUUGGGGCAAGCAUGCAGCUCUAGAUCCCUAGUUCACAAAUCCUGGUUUUUCUUCACAGCAUGGAGAGUGGGCCUUGUCAAAGCAGUAGACUUCUCUUGGAUGACCAGUUUCUUUGAUGGUUAGAUGGGGUUGUAUAAUCUUCUCUCCUCCUCCCUCCCUCCUUCCCUCCCUUCCUCCCUCCCUCAUUCUCUCUCUCUCUCUCUCUCUCUCUCUCUCUCUCUCUCUCUCUCUCUCUCUCUGUAUGUGUGUGUGUAUGUGUGUAGGUGUGUGUUUGAUGCAUGUUAGAGUUUAGGAAACCUCAGGUGUUGUUCUCACCUACUUUGCUUUGAGACAAUGUAUCUCCUUGUUCCUUACUGUUUAUGUAAAUGAGACUAAUUGGCCAGUGAGCUUGCAGGCAUUCUGCUGUCUCCACUUCCCAUCUCAUCAUAGGAGUGCGAUUAUUACAGAUGCAUUCUACUGUGUUCAGCUUGACGUGAGUUCUGGGCAUCUCAACUCAGCUCUUCACAUUUGCUUGGCAAGUGGUUUUAUUCACUGAGACAUCGCCACAGCUCAGUCUGUACAAUCCUUGGGAUAGCCUUGACAGUUCUACUUUCCUUGUUACUGGGUCCAGAGCUAACUUUCUUAUGGCUCACAUUUCUGUAUGCCUGGCCCUAUCUUACUAUAUCAGCAAUACCAACCUCACAGCAAUUGGAAUUACAUAGGUUUUGCUUUAUCAAAAGGACUCUGUGUGUGGCUAUGUAUGCUCCCCUAGAGUCUGUGACUUGGAAAAGGUUGACUGGAUGCCAGCAUAGACAUUCCUCUACAUACUCAAGUAAUAAGCUCCCUUGGAGAUAUCUGGGCUCCAGCACUGACUUAAAGGGAUACAAUGAACUGUUUAAAAAUAAAUAGGUCUCUGCUGUCCAGCUCAGUUGGUGGAGAGUGUAACUCUUCAAUGUCCUUUGACUCUAUUCUAAUUCCCAAUAGGAACAAUAGAUUACAGUGUGUAAGCUCACAGUACAUUUUCUCCAUUUCAAUCCUCAUAAAUUCCUAUUUUAUAUCUUCUGUUUAGAUUACUUUUUUUAUUUGAUCAGACAUUUGAACAGACAAGCUAUGGUGUUUUGAAUUAAAAAUAUCUCCUUUAAGCUCAUGCAUUUGAAUACUUGGUCUCCAGCUGGUGGUGCUGUUUGGGAAGGUCAUGGUAGAUAUUUAGGAGAUGGAACUUUCUGGGGAGCAGCAUCCACCCAUUUUCUCUAAUGGUCCCUUGGGUUUGGAAUGUCUUAUGAUCUCUUGGGUAUUUUCAACAUCCCUAUCCUUCAAUGACCAAUUUAGAUGUCAUUCUCACAUUUGCUCUAUUCAAUAGACAACUACCUGUCCUCUCUCUUAAUCCACAGAGCUCUUGUGACCCUAGUGUUUCCCUUAUUUUUCCUUGUAUUCCAGCUAGUUGACUGUCUCUUGCAAUGAUUAAAUUCUUCAAGUACAGGGCACAUUUCUUCUAUUCUCCUAUUUGCACAUGGUAGGUGUUCAGUAACUGAAUGCAUGAAUAAAAGACCUUUAGAAAGACCUCAGCACUGUGAGCUCCUGAGAUCCUUCAUGGGCACCAGGCAUGGCUACCUUACGGUGAGGAGCCUGACAGCCUUGAGUCUGAAUAAGUCAUCUUCUAGUGACUCAGCGUUUCUGGGUGAUAAAUCAUCUGAAGGAGCUGAGCCUGAAAACAAAUUUUCUCUCUAAUGAUUGGUGUUGUUCUUAGGCUUUAAGAAUUUAUUCAAGAGGAAUUUGAGUAUCCCCAUUAUAAACUGCAUACAUAUUAUAAAUGUAAAAACAAGAGCAUUAACAUAGAAAUGAAUCAAUAAAACCAAAAUAAUAAAGUGAGAAAAGAAAGCCAGAAAGAUGACCUUACUUGCCUCACUGGGUGUGAGCCUAGCCUUUAACAGCUGUGUCAUCUCUCCAACCCAUGAUUAGCUUACUUGAAGCAAGCCCCUACAUUCAUCGUAAAGGGCACAUUGAAAACCUUUGUGUCCUGUGUCUCUGAUAUAAUUAAACUAGAGGUUAUUAAAGCAAUUCAUGGGGGAAGAGAUGUAUUCAUUAGCACAUCACAUAAACACUAAUAGGACCAGCUACAUUUUUAUAGGACCUGUACAGAAACAAAUAUUGAGAUCUCUACUAAGUAUUUCCAGUGUAGCUAUUUUGAGCAGCUGUGUAAGAACAUAGGGUUUCUUCCAUGUGUCUGCUUGGUCUAGAGUUGAUAGCAUUGCAUUUUGGUGGAAAGGAAUCCAUCAUUUAGCAAAAGUCUGUGACUCAUGGGAGCUCAACAAUCUGUGGAUGGUCACCUCUAGCUGGGUGCAUUUCACCUUUGUUUCUGUGUAAAUACUGCACGAGGAAAGGAGCAGGUUACAGAGAAAAGCUAUGACUUGCAAGCAGCUGAUUGCUCACAGAAACCAGAUUUCCUUACCUCUGUUUAGUCCUAAUGAGUUUAAUUAAAAGGCAGGAGGAAGUGGAGGGUAUUUAUGAGGGGCAAGUGGAUUUUGGCAAACUGAAGGGCAGAUAGUGGGCCCAGAAUAGAAGGUCAGACUCAGAGAUGUCUUUUCUCUCUCGCUUGAGUAUGUCAAAGUAUCAUCUCUUUACUUACCACCUCUGUCUUCCUUUUCACCCAGGAGCCAUGUAUUUCACCAGAGGCAUGGGUACACUUAUUCCAUUUAGAUGUUCUCAGAUGUCCAGCAACCUCUCUGGGGUCUUUAGGAACAUUAGUUCUGGCCUCACUCCAGAGAGAGUCAGGUUAGUCCACCUUGUGUCAGCAUCUACCCUGAUAGAGUCAAUACUGGGAAGGGUAUGGGUUAUAGCAGUUUAGUGCUGAACAGGGUUUUAAAGGUCAAAUGGCCAAUUUGAAGAAAAUAGACAUAUAUUUUUGGUAAGUGGAUACUAUGUAGAAGCUGGAACAUAAUGGGAACAUUCAACAAUCAGCUCCUAGUUCUUGUUCUGCUUUUGAAGGGCAUAUUGCACACUUCCAUUAGGUUAUGUUUGAUCAUAUGUACCCAGAAGGAAUGAAGCUCACUAAGUCUUAUAAUAGGUAAGAGUGUUCAGAAAUCUAUGAAGAUGGCAAAAAUGCAAGUAAUCACCCCUAUAGUAAUUUCUGUGAACUGUCAUCUUGACAAUGGUAGUGUCUGGGAAUAACAAUUAGUGGUCUAUUAUUAGUUGCCACUGUUUGUGGUGGACUUGAGACUGUAUUCAUCCUCCAGCUAUGACACUAUUCAGGUACCCAUCUUUUUUUAAAUUAAUAUAUCUAGUAGAAGACACAGAUAAAACCAACUCUCUUUCAGUUAUCUAACAGGAGGACAGUUGUAAAAGUAGCAACUAAUAGCAGCCAUUUCUUUUUACCACAUGUCUCUAUAAGGCUGGUCAGCAGGAAGACUCCUGCCUUCUUUUGUUAUACUGGCUCCCUCCUUUUUAUCUAUCCACACGGUGGGGGAAGCUCAUAGGGGUGGGAACACUUGUUCAGCCUUUUCAAUAUUCUUGCAGGAUAAUGUAGAGUGCUAGACUCUGCUGUCAUAGCACCCUGACUCCCAAUCAGAACAGAGGUAAACUCUCUCUCUCUCUCUCUCUCUCUCUCUCUCUCUCUCUCUCUUAUGCUUGGGCUCUAAAAAAGGGUCCAAACUUGCUGGACAUGUGUCUUCCUCUACUGAGCUACCUCCUUAGUUCCUUUCUACUUAGGAAAUAUAAACCUUUAAGGGCCAUGUUUAAUAUGAGCUGUCAGACCUUCCUAUGGGAAGCACUUUGAGAUUUCACUCUACAAUUUUCUUCUUUUCUGUGGUUUUUUAAGUGAUUUAAAAAAUUAAUAUGCUAUAACUUUAUUACACUUUGGUUCUUAUGACAGGAAUAUCAAUGUAAUAGUGGUGGUACAUGUUCUAACAGUUGUACAAAGCGAAGCUUACCACCAUGUACUCUGAGUCAUUAAUGAAAGGCUUGGUACCAAGUGAGCUUCAGUGGAGCUGGAAGGAAAGGUGCCAGGCAUAAAACAGCUGCCUCAAAGCAAACUGGGUAUUAUGUCCAUCUGAGAACCUAAUAGAUAUGUAUUUUCCUUUUUUAUUUCUAUUGCCAUGGGAAAUAAAAUGCCUUUUGCUGUUUUAUUUCCUCCUUAAUUCCAUAUCUUCCAAGCAACUGCGUGACAGGAACCUUUUCAUACUUUUCUCUCAAAUUCCCUUAGCUGAAAACAUUGCAGGUGUUCAAUAAAUGCUCAUGCUUUGCUUGAUCUGAACAAAUAAAUACUGAUACUUGUAAGAAAUGGCCCUGGGUUUUUAAUCAUGCUUACUGAUGCUCAGUGUCAUGCAGACUUCAUAGGAUGCAGUUUCUUUCUUCCUUGUUCCCUUUCCCUUGUAAGUGCUUUGAGUAGCACAGGUGGCCAGUGUGGGCUAGCAGUCAGAAAUCCACCGGGUUGAGAGGGCAGUCAGGCUAAACCAAAACCUGUACAGGGUCAGGGAGAAGCAAAGACUAAGAGCAUUUAUUGAACACCUGCAAUGUUUGUGUAGGAUGCCAGAGUCUGAACUGGAUGAGGAGGCUGUCCUUGUGUAUGUUGGAGAUGGAUAAGUGAAGAUAGUGAAGCAGUAUUGAGGCAGAUUCCCAGCUAACUCUUGGGCACUUGGAUGUGAAAUGGGCAAUGACACAGAUUGGAUAUUGGCUAGAGCUAGAGGAGUUGAUGAUGUAAAUAAACACAAUAAAGAAAUAGGAGUCAGUUUCUUACUAUAAGUCAUGGACUGUAAGGAUAGCAAGAAAGCUACACAACUGUUGCAAACACACAGUUGUAGCUUGGUUCUCUCAUGUGACUCCUAAGAAUCAGAUCAGGAACUGUCUCUGACUCUUUUACCGGGUUUUGGGACCUGCUUCUCAUACUGGGUCACCUUGCCUGGUCUUAAUAUAUGGGGUGCUUAGUCUUACUGGAACUUGAUAUGCCAUGUUUUGUUGAUACUCAUGGGAGACCUGCCAUUUCCUAAACAGAAAUGGAAGAGGAGUGUAUUGGGGGUGGGAGUAGGGGGUAAUCUUUACAAAAUAAAAAAGAGAAGAGCAAGCAAGAAAAAAAGUUGAACUCUAUAGACUGCACUAAGUGGUACUGAUGCAAAUAAAUGCUACAGAUUGAUAGAAAGUUGUGUGCAUAAAUACAGUGUUUAUGUAUAAAUGCCCUCAUCUGUCUCUAAAAUGUGAGAAAUAUUGUUUGUAGAACCCAGACAGCCUCUAAAAAAUUAGAUCAUGUCUAAUAAGCAUCUUAAAAUUGUAAAGAGAAUUCAGAUCUUAGAGUGAUUCUAUCCAAACCCUUCCCCAAAUCAAGGUAAAUCUGUACAUCAAAAUACUAAUUUUAAUAGAUAGCCCACUGAUGAAAUAGGAAGCUAUGCAUGCAUGAUGAUGUAAUUAUAUAAAUUAAGAAAAUACAAUGCAUAAUACUUAAAUACUUGAAGAUUCUUUUUCAUAAAAAUAGCUACCAAGACAAUUUUAGAAAAAUUCAGCAAACCCAAAUUUAAUCAUAUAAACAGCAUGAAUAUCAUCAGUGGGACAAAUUUAAAAUGUCCUAUUUGCUAAGUCAGGUAAAUUCAAACUGACUAUAAAAUAUUCUAUACAAUAGCUGUCAUGUAAUGGUCAAAGUGUUAAGAUUCUUAAAGUUGAGAAAAAGUGACUUGCAUCCUAAGGAACCUAGGUCCAUGGAUGUAGCAAGUGGAUAAGGAUGUGGCUAUGACUGCUGAAAAAACCUGGGUGGUCUCUAGAGGGUAGAUGAGUUCAGAUUAGUGUUUCCUUCCUGAUGCCGAUGCUUACAGUGUGGUUAUAGAAAAGUAUGUUCUUGUCAAUUUGUACAUAAUCAUGAUCUGUCAUUGACAAGACCUGAUGCCAAAAAGUUCUCCAAUGGCCCAGGCAAAGAAUGUUGUAACUGACUUUCCAAGGUUUCUGUAAGUUUGUGGUUGUCUCCAAAAAAAACAAACCCCAGAAAACAAACAAAACAAAGCAAAACCCCUAAAAACUCCUGACUUCACUGUAGGAAAACAUCAACUUCUCAUAAAAGUCAGAAGUUAUUCUCACUGCAAGUGCUGUCAUUAUAACUUUUUAAAAAGAGGUACUCUCUUGUACAAUCUUAAAAGAACAAAUUAAAAUGGCAGGAAUGUCCUUUGAGUUAAUCAACUGUCACUGUGCCUUUUGACAUUUCUUUGGAAGCACAACUUUGUGCUUGUGCACUAUUUUAUUUAUUUAUUUAUUUAUUUAUUUAUUUAUUUAUUUAUUUAUUUAUGAUUUGAGACAAUCUUGCUAUGUAGCAAAAUCAGUCCUGGAACCUACCUUCAGUGAUCUCCUGCCUGUAACUUCCCACAUCUGAAGAGUGUAAGCAAGCACAUGUGAGUGGAACUUUGAGACCAAGGUUUGUAUACUGGGCCCUGGAUUUUGAUGCCUUUCUCCCUUCACUAAGCAAUAGAUCCUAAGUUUUAGUUUGUGAUGUAGGUAGAAUUAGCACCGGUUUUAUUUUCCUUGAUACUUCCACAGAUAGACUAUUUACAGAGAUUGCAGCAGCCAUACUAGUUGCUUCCUUUUUUUCUUUCCUUAAAAAUUUUCACCUUUUCACAUAAAAGAAACCUCUUAGCUUUUCAUUGAAAUAUCUGAAUUGGCAACAUUACUACUCUUGAGUGUUGGUGCUAUCAUUAAAUAAUUCAAGGUUAUGCGAACCCAGCAUGCAGUUCUGCAAUACGGAGACAGUCCAUCUGAUGAGCAAGGCAGCUUCAACGUGAUCAGUGUCUGGUCGAGUAAACUGAUGAAUACUCUGGGCAAAGGAAUGAUUUCUGUUCUGAGCAGGGAGCAAGAUAUUGCAAGAAUCCAUCACUGUACUCAGAAUGACAAGCACUUUAAGACUUACAACAUUUUCUUUCUGGUAUUUUUUGUUUAAUAUUUUGGAGCCACAAUUACGGUGAGCAAUGCAAAGGAUGGAGAGAACUGCAGAUAAGAAGGAUGGCUAAACAUAGGUGAAGCAAUCACAGUGAGUCAUGGGCAAAGAAAAUGCCAGGUUUGAGAGGUGUGAUUUAAAGAUGGUGCUAUCUCAGGAAUGUUAGGCAUUUCAUCAUCAGAAAAUCUAAUGCAAUUCUCCAUAGAAACAGAUUAAAGGGGGGGGAAUGCCAUUUAAUUAUCUCAAGUGAUGCCUUUGGAGCAUUUCAUAAAGAUAACGACUGAUGUUAAAAACUGUUGACUUGGAACAGAAGGGGAGGGCCUUAAUAUCUAAUAGGCUCCAGCUAUUCACAGCAAACAUCCCAAGGAACUGUGUGACUUUAGAAAUACUAUCAGUCACGACAAAAGUUGCUAAUUAUGCUGCAACCUUUUGGAAAUGUGCCUGAAUACCAAGUCAAAGUAAGAAACCAGAUAGAAAAAAAUAAUAAUUGGUGUAGAAAGUUAUGGUUGCCUUUAGCUGAAGAUGACACGAGGUCAUGGUGAGGCCAGAAUUUAAUGUAAAAGUAGUCUAAAGUGACUUAGAACUGAAUAAGGCCAAUGGGGUAGGUUACUAUGUGAUCUAUUCUGUACUUUCCCUUCUUGUCCGGGUGACAGAAUUAACUUUUCAUUAAAGAACAUAAUUAUAUAUUUUUACUGGAUGAGAUAGAGCUGUUUUUGUAAGAAGUCACUUUAUUAUCUUUCAAAAUAAAAGUUCUAUGAGUUUAUAGCAAUUUCACAACACAAAAUUGAAGUGGGCUAGGGGCCAAUAGGUUUGCUGUUCCUCUGAGCAUCCACUUUCAGACCUUCUCUUCCCUUUUCAUCUGUUUAUGCAAAAUCAUCACACCAGAAUAUUCACUUAUUCAAACACAUGCAAAUUAACACUCUACAUUUGCAAUGGAGUUCUAUUCCCUUUUAUUUGCCUGACGUUCUGAGUCUUCAAAAUUAUUAUUAUUGUCAACAUUACCUUCAUGCAUCAUUGAACCUCUUUUGAGUCAUUGAUCCAAAUUUUCAAAUAGGAACAUUUUCUCUGUGUGAAUCUUAUAACAGAAAAUACUAAACUCACAAUUAUAAAAAUAUAAAUGGUGGGAAAUUCACCAUCAGAAACAAAAAGUACAUUCUGUUAUCUGAAGCAUCUGUAGCAAGAGCUGAUCAGCACACUUUCAUAAAGGCCACAAAUUUCCAGUCAGUGAUCAUUACCAUACAUGUACCAAGGAAAAAAAUCAUUAUAUUGUUUUAUGACUUUCUGGAAUUCUUAUAAAAUAAUUGUCCCACUGAUUUUUCUUCCCAAACUUUCAUGUUACCUGUAGCUCUAUAGGUUGACCACUGUGGACCACAGAGGUCUGAACACAUCACUUUAGGAAUCUUUGUUCAAUAGAUAUACAUAAGGAAGCAUGUGGGCUAAAAUUACACUAAUGUGGCCAGCUAUAGUAGCACAUACCAACAUCCUAGCACUUAGAAGCAGAAGUAUAAAAGUUUUAGAGCCAGCCUCCUUGCUGUGUAAAAUUAUCCUCCAAAAUUAAGCAUUUAAGCUCCUCAACUUAGAAAGCAAGCAAACCUUACGGAGCUCAGCAAGCAAGCAAUUCACUAGUCUCAGGAAGUUCCUGAAAUUUAGAAGAUUCACAUACCCCCUCCAUGAGUUCUAAUAAGUCUUAAUAAUAAAAGCUCAGAGUCAGAUAUUAGGGGGAGAAAAUGGAAGGAUGAGAGAAUCAGAGCAGCCACUAGAGCACUUACCUCUAUGAAAUCCUCCCACUGAAAAGAGAUGGCGUUCCUAUCUCCUCCCUCCUAUAUUCCUCUCUCCAUCCAGCCAUGGCACUUACUGCCUGUCUGUAUAGACCUCCAGAACUCUAUGGCUAGUUAGUGGCUAACUCUGCCCUCUGAUCUUCAGGCAAGCUUUAUUUGUUAGAGUACAAACACUACAUUACCACAACUAGCAGUUACAACUGAUGGGGAGUAGAUACACUGACUAGUCUAACUCCAUCCUAGUUUUGCAGAGAAUUCCAGAGAUGAGUCUUUAUCAACGUUAGGGUGGAUCUUUUGAUGAUGUAAUUGUAUUAGAGUCAUCUGUGCUCCUGUGGUUGCUUGUCACUCAUGCUUGGUAAGUCCAGUGAAUUGAUUGGUUCACCAAAUAGUACUCUGAUGAAAUAAUUUCUUUGAUCUCUUGUUGGUGCCCUAUUUGGGGUAAAUCACUAUUUGUAUGUGCAUCACCAGGAAAAGUCAUAUAGCACUUGGCUACAUAUACUUAGUGAGUUAAGUGCCAACCUAGGCUACAUGUGACCUUAUUUCCAGAUAAAUAUAAGAAAAAAUGAUAAUGAUUUGAAAAAUUUGAGAAGCUACUUACUUCUAUCUUGUCUUUGGAUAUCUAUUUCUAUCUGAGGAGAAACUCAAUGCAAUUUUGUGGAGUGAUCCUGGGCUUGAUAUUAUUCUAUUGGAUGACUUUUAAUUUGUGGUCAAAGUUUAAUGAUGAUGCUCAUUCCAAUGUCAUUUUUGGUGGGAAAGCAGAAUCCCGCAGAACACUUUCUCCCAAGAAAGUCAUAUAUUUUUUAAACUAUCCAUUUCUUAUCGCAGGGUCUUUGUUUCUAAAAGGAACUCUCAGUUUAAGGAAAAGUUUCCCAGCAUUCUUUAGUGUCUACAUUUGAUCUUGAUAUUUACAAUGAUCAAACAGAAAGCUAUGUUCAUCUAGGAAAGUAUUUGGUGGUAUUUUUAGGUAAAGAAAGCAAAAAAUGGUCUUCAAUUUGCUUUGAGAAAUAUUUAAUCUUGGGGAAAUCUUCAUACUUUGGAUCAACCUUGUAGAUUUAGACAUUUGCAUUUUGGAAGGGUAGGUGCUUAGGCAUAGGGAAUAUAAUGAAAAGGUGUGUGUGAGAGAGAGAGAGGGGGAGAGAGAGAGAGGGAGAGAGAGGGGGGAGAGAGAGAGGGAGAGAGAGAGAGAGAGAGAGAGAGAGAGAGAGAGAGAGAGAGAGAGAGAGAGGAAGAGAGAGAAAGAGAGAGGAGAGUUGGGGAGAGACAAAUACAGAGACAUGGAAGAGUUCUUCACAUUUAUUUGGUAGCUUAUUUUCAUUGCUAACCUUAUAUUUCUUGGCUUUGAAGUGGAACUUUCUGGUAUUUUCAGCUUGGAGCAAAUCAGAAAGUUCUAAUGAGUUUCCUUGAUAUUUACUUUGACCUGAUUCAGGUCAGCUUAUUGCUUUUUUCUCACACUCCAAAAGCAGGGAAAUCUCCUCUUGCUCAUUAGGGCUUCUGUGAGUAAUCUUAACUCAAAGAUUUCUAAUUAAAAUGUAAAGAUCAUUAGUAUGAGUCAUAACAGAGGCUUUUCUUCCCAGUUGGUGCUGUGAUGGUGGUUCCAGGUACACUCCUGCCUCCACCUCACUGAACAAUCUAUGCUCUUGGUACAGUUUCUCAGCAGCAGAGAGCCUUGACUGGUACCGAAGUUUCUCAUUGAGGGCAGGGAGAUAGGAUGCAAGCCUGGAGGAACCAAGAGGAGAAACAAAUUGCAAAGGAAGAAUUUUCUUUGCUGCUAGUACCAGGCCAACUGAGUGAGUGGUGCUAAAGGAGAAAGAUGAAGAGGACACUAAGUCAGAGAAGAAAGAUACUACUAUAUAUUUUAUAAUUAUUUACCCAGGAAGGAAAGAACUGAGCUGGAUACUAAUAGAUACCAAAUUAAUUCUUUUUUGUUUUUUGUUUUAUAUUUCAUUUUGUGCUUCAGGAAUUCAAAUAUCUAUAUAAUCUUCACUAUUGCAAAAAAAAAAAAAAACCCACUGCUGCCUUUUUCAUAUUUCUGACAUUUUAAGUAGAGAUAUUUACUAUUGUUUGGAAGUGUGACAUUGUUGAUCAUGUCAGCUACAUUAUUUCGUUUUGCAUGUAAAAACUGUGAUUAAUCAAAUCUUUAAGUCUUCUCUUUUGUAUGGAUUCAUGGAGAAUUUAGCUCCCAGUUAGUCAUACUUAUGACUUGUUUUAUGUAUGACUUGUUAAUAAGACCAAACUUUUGAGUCAUAGUCAAGAGCAAGUAAAAAUAUGGUGCUGUGUGUAUUUUCCAUUACUAGGCUUUAAUCUUGGGAAUAUUAAUGGGGGACUUAAAUCAGAAACAAGAAGAAUGUAAUGACUCUAUAGAUGCUUGAGUGGAAAAUGAACACUCAUUGAUUUGCUUCUCCUCUCUGUCAUCUGAACUUUUGACCCAUUUCAAUUGUCACAAUAUAAUUAGCUUUUCUAUUAAAGGAGUUGGGUCUAAUAGAAUAAAAAUACUUUCUUUCAUAAUUAGAGUUUCUGGGUUUCCAGGAGAAGAUGGUUAUUUGAAUUAUUUGUGAUUUCAAAUUCAGUUAGUUGCAGUGGCAAAUGAUUACAAUUUACAUAUACAUAUUUAUCUUUCAUCUUAUUAAUUAACUGUGCUGGAACAGUUUGAGGGUGACAUAUGAGUAUUGAUUUCAUUCUGUGUUUUGAUGUAAAUGUCAUCUAAUGUUUAGAGAGAGGAAAUUUACACUACGCUGUGAUGGGAGAUGGUAAAGUUAUUCUGUGAUAACCCUGUGGUAAAAUGGUGAGGAGUUUAAUCUACAUCAUAAACUCAAUGCCCAUUUCUCAAGGGAUGUUACUAACUUUAGGGCAUAGGGAAUCUGUUCAUCAUGGUAGACUUAAAAGAGUAAUGUGAGGGAUAACCUUGAUUGCCAACUUAACAGAUGUGACAAGAGGGAACCUCAGUUGAAGAACUGUCUUAUUCAGAUUGAUAGUGGGGAUGUCAAGGGGGCACUUUCUUAAUUGCUGAUUGGUGUAGAAUUUUCCAGCCUAUUAUGGUUAUCCCUAGGCAAGUGGGCUUGGCUAUAUUAGAAUGAUAGCAGAGAAAGCCAGGGUAACAAGACAUAUUGUAUGUAUAUAUCAACAAUCAUUUGUAACAUGUGUCUAAGACAAGGUUAGAGAAAUGUAUGUGAUCUAUGUAUGUCUAUCUACCUAUCUAUAAUUUAAUAAGAUGUCUAUGACCAGUAUUUAUGAAGAUACAACUUUACAAUGGAUUUUUUUUUUUAACAGGGAAGGAUGCGAAUGUAGUCCUCUACUUUCACAAAUUAUGCAGUUGAGUUUCCUGCAUUUUGGGACAUUUCAGGGGUCAGCACGUCCAGGAGUGCAAUAGAUGAGCCAUAGCCUGAGAAAACCACCUUCAUGGUCAUGAUUAUUUCCCCUUCCAGGUCGAUACUUGAAUUUAUGUGAUGUAUCUUCAAAGAAAUUGGGAUGUUUGGAAAAGUUGAUACACCUAGAGUCACCUGAGAAGAUGAAGCCUCAACCAGGGAACUUCCCAGAGAUUGUCUUUGUUAGUGGCUGAUGUCAGAGGCCUCAGCCCACGAUGGACAGCACCAUCUUUUGGCAGAGCCUUCAUCCAGUAGCUGGAGGAAGCAGAAGCAGAGAUACACAGCAAAGCACUGUGCCAUACUCUUGGAAUCCAGUUUCAGAGAAAGAGGAGUGACUAACCAAGGGGUCAAGACCAUGCUGGGAAAAUCCACAGAAACAGCUGACCUGACUAUGUGUCACAGUACCAAACCCGAAGCAAUCUACUAUAAAGGAGGGAAAGGUUGAUUCUGGCGGACAGUUUUGGAGAGUUCUGUCCUCCUUGCUUUGUGGGGUGUGAUGAGACAGCACAUCUGGAAGUGAGGUGUGAGAGAGAAAGCUUCAUCCUCACCACAGGGCAGCUGUCAGGCAAGAGAGCCUGGGCACCCCAUCAUCUUCUCAAGGAGGAAUGGAGAAUGUAAGACUGGAGUCAGGGUGCUCAAUUACAAAUCAAUUGGAGCUACAAUAACCCAGCUAAGAAAUAGUGAGAACCUAAGUGAAGCUGUAUCCAAAGUCAUGUGGGAGUGGUCUCAAAAAUCUUACACAUCACUGAGCUGAAAGCCUAAAUUGGAUGACAAGGUGAACUCCAGAAGGAUAUCUAUCCACGAUGUAUUUGUCAGCUUUUGCUGAAAUACUACACCAGAAUGAACAACCAAAAUCUUGAUGACUUCAAACAAUCACUACUUAUGUUGUUAUGGACGUGGCAGCUGGACAUUCUUCGUCAUUCUUUCAGCCAGUGCUGUCUUGGAUUGUUUAAAAAAGCAAGCUGAGCAAGUUGUGGAAAGCAAACAAGUGAGCAGCCCUCCUCCAUGGUUUUGCCUUGAUACCUGCUUCCUGAUUGCUGUCUGAAUUCUUAACCUGACUUCUGAUCAUGGUGGACUGUACACCAUAAGCUGUAAUAAACCCUUUCCUCUCCAAGAUGCUUUGGUCAGUGUUUUAUCACAGCAACAGAAGUGCAAGCUAAGACAACAAGUCACAUGUAUAGGGCUCACAGAGGCCAGAAGAGGAUGUUAGAUGCCCAACCUUGAACUGGAGCUGGAAUUAUAUACCUCUUUGUGAGCCACCUGAUGUGGAAUAUGGGAACUGAUCUUGGUUCUUUGGAAGAGUAGAAAGUGCUCUUGACUGUGGAGUGAUCACUUCAGCCUCAUCUUUCCUGGUUUUGAACUUUGAAUUACCAAGAAAAGAAAAUCAAUUAUUGCUUGCAAAGUAACAACCUUCUUUUCAAACAAAACAAAACAAAACAAACAAACAAACAAAAAAACCACCAAGUGGGUUUUUUUUGUUUUUUGUUUUUUACUUUUUAUUUUUUUGAAUAGAAGGUUGUUACUUUGCAAGCCAGAAUUAAGCUUUCUCUGCUUCUGAACACGGGACUUGAGACCUGAAACUUCAUCCAAAAUGACCCAGGCUGACCUCCUUAGCUUCCAGCUCCAGCAACUAGCCUAAUGCAUGAUGUAUAAUCGAUACGCGAUCCCUGCACAAUUGCCUGAGACAAAGAAGCAAGCAUGCAAAGAGAGUGUCCCUAAGGCUGGAGCUCCCUGUUUAUCCCUUUCAGAGGAAUUGAGCCCCUUGUAAGAUUUGAGCUGAAUUUCAGUCACAUGUUCCAAACAGUAAUAUCUUACAAAGAGGCCAUCACUUCUUAAAAACAGACCACGAGCUGUCCCUUGUGAGCCUCACGACAGGUGUGGAGCCAUCUGUGCAAGUGGCAAAGGAAGCUGGUGAAACAUUAAAGCAUGUUUACUGAAGAGAAUAUUUAUUCUGCAUUAACAAUCCACCAUUUCAACUGUCUCCAAUCUUCUGUAGUGUAACUGCUGUUAUUUAUAUUUAUUACUAUUUUGAGAUCUGUUGGUUAAUAUAAGAUUUUGUACAUGGUUUCUCUGUGUAGCUUUGGAGCCUAUCCUGGCACUCGCUCUGGAGACCAGGCUGGCCUCGAACUCACAGAGAUCCGCCUACCUCUGCCUCCUGAGUGCUGGGAUUAAAGGUGUGCACCAGCAACACCCGGCAGAAUUGAAGGAUUUUAAAGAAGACUAACUGAGCACUAACGCUCAGUGAACUUGAAGAGGAUUGGAAUAAAUACCAGAGUGAUGGCCAGGAAACAAAUAUGCAAAUGAACAAAAUGAAGAAGGCAAUUCAGAAUUUGAAAAUUGAAUUCUUUCAAGACAGAAAUAUUGAAGAGAACUUAGGCUGAAGUAAAGGUGAAAUUUAAAAACUAGAUGACCCAGUUAUAAAAUUCAUGGACAAGCAUUACCAGUAGGACUGUCUGAUAACUCAGAAAUCCACAACUGGUCAAAGUGUAGAGAACAACUGAUUGCAGAGUAUCCAACGACAAUAGAUACAUUACAAUCCCUACAUUUAUGCCCUACAGAAGUGGGUUAAGUAAGAGCCAGAGGACCAAGACUUCUGUGGUGAGAUAGUGUCUUCUGGAUCUGUCAGAGAAGCUGCACCCAUAAAAUCUCAACAACGAGGCUGUGUAAACAAGAGUGUCACAAUGAUACUAGUUGAUGCCCCAGAAUGGUUGGGGAAAUCUCCCAAGGCUCCACACCUAGGUGAAGAGCUCACCUGGAAAGAAAAUGGGCCAGACCUCCUCGACUGCACUGGAUCCAACUUGCUCCAUUUCAACGGAUACUCAGGUCAGAGCUUCGGAUACUGACUUCAAUCAUGUUGAGGAUUUCAAGUGAGAUCUUCAAUCAAGUGAAUCCCAUCUAACAUGGACUGGAUACAGUCCAUUCAAGACUUUCAGUAUACUAACAUUUUCUUCCUACAGGACCCCACAAGGCUAUCGUCAUCCCAUUUCAGCAGGAAAUAACUUGGAGGAUGCUACGCCCCCUUAGGGAUAGCUUGUUAUUAUUUAUGGUUGGGAUUGGAAGGAGGUGUUCAGGCUUGGACACCUCUUUCAGAUGAUUUUAGGGUUUAGUUAAAAUAGAUAGUUAAGAUGUGACAUAAGCAGAUUGUUUUGUCUUCUUAUAUUUCACCUUUGUGAUUGUUAAUUUUGGAUACUUUACACUGUUAAGUUUUAAUCCUCUUUUAGACUAAAAGGGGAAUUGUAGGGGAAGCUGUAGCCACGCCUGCUUAGGGGCUGGCUACAGGUGUGCCUGGCCACACCUGCGAAGGCGUGGUCAGGGUGACAUAGAGUGAGAGGCGUUCAGGUGGC